UACAGAGGUCUCGAGCGUUGUUCGGAUUCAUUGGGCGUAAAGGGCGCGUAGGCGGCGGGGUAAGUCUGGUGUGAAAUCUCGGAGCUUAACUCCGAAACUGCAUUCGAUACUGCCGUGCUUGAGGACUGGAGAGGAGACUGGAAUUUACGGUGUAGCGGUGAAAUGCGUAGAUAUCGUAAGGAAGACCAGUGGCGAAGGCGGGUCUCUGGACAGUUCCUGACGCUGAGGCACGAAGGCCAGGGGAGCAAACGGG
rnacentral:rRNA from 1 species